GAUGAAGAACGCAGCGAAAUGCGAUAAGUAGUGUGAAUUGCAGAAUUCAGUGAAUCAUCGAAUCUUUGAACGCACAUUGCGCCCUUUGGUAUUCCAAAGGGCAUGCCUGUUCGAGCGUCAUUUGUACCCUCAAGCUUUGCUUGGUGUUGGGCGUCUUGUCUCUAGCUUUGCUGGAGACUCGCCUUAAAGUAAUUGGCAGCCGGCCUACUGGUUUCGGAGCGCAGCACAAGUCGCACUCUCUAUCAGCAAAGGUCUAGCAGCCAUUAAGCCUUUUUUUCAACUUUUGACCUCGGAUCAGGUAGGGGUACCCGCUGAACUUAAGCAUAUCAAUAAGCGGAGGA
rnacentral:misc_RNA from 1 species